rnacentral:rRNA from 1 species
UGGGGAAUCUUGCGCAAUGGGCGAAAGCCUGACGCAGCGACGCCGCGUGGGGGAUGAAGGCCCUCGGGUUAUAAACCCCUUUCGGUGGGGACGAAACGAACGUGACGGUACCCACAGAAGAAGCCCCGGCUAACUACGUGCCAGCAGCCGCGGUAAGACGUAGGGGGCGAGCGUUGUCCGGAAUUAUUGGGCGUAAAGAGCGCGCAGGCGGCCACGUAAGUCGGGUGUGAAAUCCCGGGGCUCAACCCCGGGACUGCAUCCGAUACUGCGUGGCUAGAGGUAGGUAGGGGAGAUCGGAAUUCCUGGUGUAGCGGUGAAAUGCGCAGAUAUCAGGAGGAACACCGGUGGCGAAGGCGGAUCUCUGGGCCGAUACUGACGCUGAGGAGCGAAAGCGUGGGGAGCGAACAG